rnacentral:rRNA from 1 species
GACGAACGCUGGCGGCGUGCUUAACACAUGCAAGUCGAACGGAAAGGCCUGCUUUCCCUUGUGGAUUGCGGGUACUCGAGUGGCGAACGGGUGAGUAACACGUGAGUGAUCUGCCCCCAACUUGGGGAUAAGCCUGGGAAACUGGGUCUAAUUCCCGAUAGGACAGCAGGGUGGUGCCUGUGGUGGCAAACGAGUUUCGAGUGGUGGGGGAUGAGCUCGCGGCCUAUCAGCCUGUUGGUGGGGUAAGGGCCUAGCAAGGCGGCGACGGGUAGCCGGCCUGGGAGGGUGGACGGCCAGAUUGGGACGGAGAGACGGCCGAGACUGCGACGGGGGGCAGCAGUGGGGAAUAUUGCACAAUGGGCGGAAGCCUGAUGCAGCGACGCCGCGUGGGGGAUGACGGCCUUCGGGUUGUAAACUCCUUUCGACCGCGAGGAAGCCACCUGGUUGGAAGGGUGGUGACGGUAGUGGUAGAAGAAGCACCGGCUAACUACGUG